rnacentral:rRNA from 1 species
UACGAAGGGUGCUAGCGUUGUUCGGAAUCACGUGGCGUAAAGCGCGCGCAGGCGGCCAUUCAAGUCAGGGGUGAAAUCCUUGGGCUUAACCCAAGAAUUGCCUUUGAAACUGUAUGGCUGGAGUGUCGGAGGGGAUAGCGGAAUUCCUAAUGUAGCGGUGAAAUGCGUAGAUAUUAGGAGGAACACCGGUGGCGAAGGCGGCUAUCUGGACGACAACUGACGCUGAGGCGCGAAAGCGUGGGGAUCAAACAGGGAU